UACGAAGGGGGCUAGCGUUGUUCGGAAUUACUGGGCGUAAAGCGCGCGCAGGCGGUCUUCCAAGUCAGUGGUGAAAGCCCGGAGCUCAACUCCGGAACUGCCAUUGAAACUGUAAGACUUGAGGAUGAGAGAGGUGAGUGGAAUUCCCAGUGUAGAGGUGAAAUUCGUAGAUAUUGGGAAGAACACCGGUGGCGAAGGCGGCUCACUGGCUCAGAUCUGACGCUCAGGCGCGACAGCGUGGGGAUCAAACAGG
rnacentral:rRNA from 1 species